UACCAGCACCCCGAGUGGUCGGGACGUUUAUUGGGCCUAAAGCAUCCGUAGCCGGUCCUACAAGUCUUCCGUUAAAUCCACCUGCUCAACAGAUGGGCUGCGGAAGAUACUAUAGGGCUAGGAGGCGGGAGAGGCAAGCGGUACUCAGUGGGUAGGGGUAAAAUCCUCUGAUCCAUUGAAGACCACCAGUGGCGAAGGCGGCUUGCCAGAACGCGCUCGACGGUGAGGGAUGAAAGCUGGGGGAGCAAACCGG
rnacentral:rRNA from 1 species